rnacentral:lncRNA from 1 species
UCUUUCUCACUCUCUUUGUCUACUAUUCUCAAGUCUCUGGCUAACUUAAACAUCGGAAAGUCCCGUAUUAGAAAAUCUACAGCAAGUGUGGACUUUCAUUUCAGGUUCUCCAAGGAGCUCCUAUUAGUUGUCGAGUACUCUAGUUGGUAGGAGACCGACCAUAACCGCAACCGACUCAGAGGCUUACAGCAACACCAGGCAUCUCAAAUAUGGCUUGGAGGUGACUCUUCCACUAUUAUAUCAUGGAUUCAUGAAAGGAACCAAGGAAAACAAGCAUCCAACCCCCUACCAAAGGAGAUGCUACAUUGGAAGAGGGUGUGUUUAAUGUUCAAGACAACCC